rnacentral:rRNA from 1 species
UACAGAGGGUGCAAGCGUUACUCGGAAUUACUGGGCGUAAAGCGCGCGUAGGUGGUUUGUUAAGUUGGAUGUGAAAUCCCCGGGCUCAACCUGGGAACUGCAUUCAAAACUGACAAGCUAGAGUAUGGUAGAGGGUGGUGGAAUUUCCUGUGUAGCGGUGAAAUGCGUAGAUAUAGGAAGGAACACCAGUGGCGAAGGCGACCACCUGGACUGAUACUGACACUGAGGUGCGAAAGCGUGGGGAGCGAACAGG